rnacentral:rRNA from 1 species
CAAAGAUUAAGCCAUGCAUGUCUAAGUAUAAGCGAACUUAUACAGUGAAACUGCGGAUGGCUCAUUAAAACAGUUUGAAUUUAUUUGAUGAAUGUAUGAGAAUACUACUUGGAUAACCGUAGUAAUUCUAGAGCUAAUACAUGCAACGACGCCCGACCGUUUCACUACGGAAGGGCUGUAUUUAUUGGAUACCAAAACCAUCCUUCCCUCGGGAAGUUUUGUUUGAUGAUUCACAAUAACUGAUCGGAUCGCCACUGUGGUGGCGACAGGUCAUUCAACAUUCUGCCCUAUCAGCUUUCGAUGGUUGUGUAGUGGACAACCAUGGCCAUAACGGGUAACGGAGAAUCAGGGUUCGAUUCCGGAGAAGGAGCUUGAGAAUUGGCUACUACAUCUAAGGAAGGCAGCAGGCGCGCUAAUUACCCAAUCCCGAUUCGGGGAGGUAGUGACAAAAAAUAACAAUACCGGGCCUUUUUUGGGCUUGGUAAUUGGAAUGAGGGAGAGUUAAACGGACCAUCGAGUAUCCAUUGGAGGGCAAGUCUGGUGCCAGCAGCUGCGGUAAUACCAGCUCCAAUAGCGUAUAUUAAAGUUGUUGCAGUUAAAAAGCUCGUAGUUGGACUUGUGUGCGCUGUCCGCGGGUGGCCUGCGCCCAAAAGGGCGUUUCGGUUCGGCCCCGGUGGCGCCUUGAAAUCUGCAGCUGGGGGGACGUUGGCCUUAACUGGUCGGCGACCGCACGCCGGCUGCUCGGUUACUGUGAGAAAAUUAGAGUGUUCAAGGCAGGCAUUGGGUGCAAUUGAAUACAUUAGCAUGGAAUAAUAAAAUAUGGCUCCUGCCGUAUUUUGUUGGUUUUGACUGGUGGGAGUAAUGAUUGAUAGGGACGGUUGGGGGUGCUAGUAUUGAGCGGCCAGAGGUGAAAUUCAUGGAUUCGCUCAAGACUAACUUAUGCGAAAGCAUUCACCAAGGACGUCCUCUUUAAUCAAGAACGAAAGUUGGGGGAUCGAAGACGAUCAGAUACCGUCGUAGUCUCAACCAUAAACUAUGUCGACUUGGGAUCGGCGGUAGUUUUUUCAUUAAGACACUGUCGGGACCACGGGAGAAAUCAAAGUGUCUGGACUCUGGGGGAAGUAUGGUCGCAUGGCUGAAACUUGAAGGAGUUGACGGAAGGGCACCACCAGGAGUGGAGCCUGCGGCUUAAUUUGACCCAACACGGGGAAACUUACCAGGUCCAGAGAUGUAGAGGAUUGACAGAUUGAAGCUCUUUCUUGAUCACUUCGGUGGUGGUGCAUGGCCGUUCUUAGUUGGUGGAGUGAUUUGUCUGGUUAAUUCCGUUAACGAACGAGACCUCAGCGUGCUAGUGUAGUCGGCUGGA